rnacentral:pre_miRNA from 1 species
ACCGCUGAGCCAUCUCACCAGCCCAUUUUUUGUUUUUUAAGAUUUAUUUAUCUAGGGCUGGAGAGAUGGCUCAGUGAU